GAGUUUGAUCGUGGCUCAGGAUGAACGCUGGCGGCGUGCCUAAUACAUGCAAGUCGAGCGAACGGACGAGAAGCUUGCUUCUCUGAUGUUAGCGGCGGACGGGUGAGUAACACGUGGAUAACCUACCUAUAAGGCUGGGAUAACUUCGGGAAACCGGAGCUAAUACCGGAUAAUAUUUUGAACCGCAUGGUUCAAAAGUGAAAGACGGUCUUGCUGUCACUUAUAGAUGGAUCCGCGCUGCAUUAGCUAGUUGGUAAGGUAACGGCUUACCAAGGCAACGAUGCAUAGCCGACCUGAGAGGGUGAUCGGCCACACUGGAACUGAGACACGGUCCAGACUCCUACGGGAGGCAGCAGUAGGGAAUCUUCCGCAAUGGGCGAAAGCCUGACGGAGCAACGCCGCGUGAGUGAUGAAGGUCUUCGGAUCGUAAAACUCUGUUAUUAGGGAAGAACAUAUGUGUAAGUAACUGUGCACAUCUUGACGGUACCUAAUCAGAAAGCCACGGCUAACUACGUCG
rnacentral:rRNA from 1 species